GACGAACGCUGGCGGCGUGCUUAACACAUGCAAGUCGAACGGAAGGGCCCUGCUUUUGUGGGGUGCUCGAGUGGCGAACGCGUGAGUAACACGUGAGUAACCUGCCCUUGACUUUGGGAUAACUUCAGGAAACUGGGGCUAAUACCGGAUAGGAGCUCCUGCUGCAUGGUGGGGGUUGGAAAGUUUCGGCGGUUGGGGAUGGACUCGCGGCUUAUCAGCUUGUUGGUGGGGUAGUGGCUUACCAAGGCUUUGACGGGUAGCCGGCCUGAGAGGGUGACCGGCCACAUUGGGACUGAGAUACGGCCCAGACUCCUACGGGAGGCAGCAGUGGGGAAUAUUGCACAAUGGGCGGAAGCCUGAUGCAGCAACGCCGCGUGCGGGAUGACGGCCUUCGGGUUGUAAACCGCUUUCGCCUGUGACGAAGCGUGAGUGACGGUAAUGGGUAAAGAAGCACCGGCUAACUACGUG
rnacentral:rRNA from 1 species